rnacentral:lncRNA from 1 species
GGAGCAUAGUGGAGUUUUGGAUGUCAAGGGUUUGGGAAUCACCAAAAUCCCUGUCUCCUCUCCAACCCCUAAAAAUGCCAACAAGAUGGAAAGUUUCAAAAUUUACUCCUUAACCAAGGCAUGGAAAACGAAAAAGUACAAAAGAAACAAAUUGGCCUUGGCAGCAGGAAGAGUGGAGGCUAGACUAGCAGAAGUAAACCUGAGAAGGAAUAGGACUAGUCUUAUAUUCGGUGAACCUUCUGCCCAGUCCAGAACCUGGGAGAUGUCGGGAGCCUCUGCAGAUCCCAGAAGUGAGCGCGGCAACAGCAGACUCAGCCAGACCGGGACACAGGGCGACAGUCUCGAAAGUGUGGCAGGGAGCAGUGUGAAGAGGCGAGGACGACCCCGGGACGACCCAAGCCUGUGCCGCCGCUGCAGCCCCGCAGCCUGCGCCCACCACCCGCCGCCACGCCCGAGAGAGGGGCUGAAGGGGACGUUCAAGGAGAUAAAGCCACCGUAAAGGAAGAACCGCAGACGAGAGCUGCAAGGUGAUCUGCUAAACCUGCUCCUCCAAAGCCAGAACCCAGGCCUAAAACGGCCCCUGCAGAGAAAGGAGGGAGGUUACUCAAAGGGGAAAAAGGGACAGCUGAUGCUGGCAAGGAUGGGAAUAACCCUGCGGAAGACGGAGAUGCCCAAACAGACGGGGCACAGAGCGCUGAAGUGCCGGAGACGCCACGUGAAGUGUGUGCCUUUUUGAUAACCGUGUCCUUCUGGUGACUGUACAGUCUGAAAUACUAUUUUUUAUCAAGUUUUAUAAAAGUGCAGAAUUUGGUUUUACUUUUUUUUUAAACUGUGUUGUUAGCACACAGAACACUUCAUUACUUUGGGGGAAAGGGGCAGAUGUCACUAACAGAAUAUCUCUGAAUAUUCUGGAUUAAAAUGGGAGAAAACACCUUUCCCCUCUAGUGUUUGAGAGAGUGCCUCUUCACUCCCAGGAGAAGGGAAC